GAUGAACGCUGGCGGCGUGCCUAAUACAUGCAAGUCGAGCGAACAGACGCGGCGCUUGCUCCGCUGACGUUAGCGGCGGACGGGUGAGUAACGCGUGGAUAACCUACCUAUAAGACUGGGAUAACCUGGGGAAACCGGAGCUAAUACCGGAUAAUAUCUUGAACCGCAGGGGUGGAUAGUGAAAGACGGUUUUGCUGUCACUUAUAGAUGGAUCCGCGCCGCAUUGGCUAGUUGGUAAGGUAACGGCUUACCAAGGCAACUAUGCGUUGGCGACCGGAUUGGCUGAUCGCCCACCCGGGAGCUGAGCCACGGUCCUGACUCCUACGAGAGGCACCAGUAUCCUAUCUUCCGCAGUGGUCGGAAGCUUUACGGAGUGACCGCGCGUCUGAGGUGACGGCCCUCCGAUCGUAAUACCGUGUUACGAGUUGUGAACCACUUUGGAAGUUACCAUGCCCUUCGUGACGGUACCUAGUCAGAAAGCAACGGCUAACUACGUG
rnacentral:rRNA from 1 species